AAAAAUAUGACGACUAAGAAACACUUAAUGUCAACAAGAUUGUCUGAUUGACAAGAGAAAAGGUCAAACAGGAACUUCAAUUGUGAACAUUGCAGAAAACACACUCGGAAGAAGAUGACCCUCAGAAAUAGGACAAUUAAUGAAUAAAAAGGACAGAAGCACAACUGAAGGAGAUGCAUGAAAUGAGGAAGAUUUCAAAGAUUGCCUGAGCAUAACCACUGCUACUGGAUAAACAUAUGGCAAUAUAAAAGAGCAGGGUCAAUGGAGGUAUCAUACAGUAUAGGCCAUGAGAGACCCUGAAGACGAAAGUAUGGAAC